rnacentral:rRNA from 1 species
GAUUAACGCUGGCGGCGUGCCUAACACAUGCAAGUCGAGCGGCAGCGAGUUUUACACUGACUUCUGGAAGCUUCUAGUUGAAAGAGAAGAUUUAUUCAAGAAUUUUGUGUAAAAUGUCGGCGAGCGGCGGACGGCUGAGUAACGCGUGGGAACGUACCCCAAAGUGAGGGAUAACGCAUCGAAAGGUGUGCUAAUACCGCAUGUGGUCUUCGGAUUAAAGCCUUCGGGCGCUUUGGGAACGGCCUGCGUAAGAUUAGAUAGUUGGUGGGGUAAUGGCCUACCAAGUCGACGAUCUUUAACUGGUGUGAGAGGAUGAUCAGUCAGACUGGAACUGAGACACGGUCCAGACUCCUACGGGAGGCAGCAGUGAGGAAUCUUCCACAAUGGGCGAAAGCCUGAUGGAGCAACGCCGCGUGCAGGAUGAAGGCCUUCGGGUUGUAAACUGCUUUUAUAAGUGAGGAUUAUGACAGUAACUGAUGAAUAAGGAUCGGCUAACUACGUG